rnacentral:lncRNA from 1 species
CCAUUUUUUAUUUCUUCAUUUAAGAUUAAAGCACUACUACAAUACAGAUGUAUGACUUAUGAAAUGGUUCAAAUCCUCCAUAAAUGCCAACUUAAAGGCAUAUGUACUAUCUAUGUAGCACAAAUAAAGCUUGUAUCUUUUCCUUCAUUAGUGAGAGAGAGAGAGAGAGUCACCGUGAAACGCGGAGGGAUCAGAGAGAUUGGGGUUGAGUAAGAAACAAAGAAUGAACAGAGAUGAUGGGCGGCGGUUAACAAAAUGAGGGAGAGAGAGGUAGCACACACGUUCCUUGAAAUGACAAGACAGGCGGCUGACUGUGGGAGGGGGAUACGAGGUCGAUAUCCUCACCUUGAAAUUAGAAGGGAUGAGAGACGAAGGCCCACCCGCAGAGGGAACAAGUGAGAGAGGUAGGCGAUGAACAUGAACCACAAAUGGAAAGGAGGUGCGGGGAGGCAGAUCACAGUUGGCUGAGACGAUGAGGGGCAAUCCGUACAUUCCACUCCGGGAAACAGGGUAGCUAGAAAGGUCCAAUCUUUCCCCAGCAUCGGGGAAUUUCGUGCUGAUCGCGCGCUGGCGUUGACUUCGCCAAGUAUAUAUAUCGAGCAGUCUUCGAUCGGCCCCGCAGUGUUUCAAGGUGACGACGAGACACGAGAUCAGCCCGCUCUAAGAAAGCCUAAACCAGAGUUGUUGCUGAGGAAGAAAGAGAGAGAGAGAGAGAGAGAGAGAGAGAGAGGAGGAGAGAGGANNN